GAGACAUAAUGUCCUUUCUCUGGUGUGUUUCUAUUUUGGCUGUUCGAUGACUAGAAAGAGAAAAGUAAUUGAGUUGUAAAAUGGGCAUGAAAUCAGCAUGGAAAAGGGCUGGAAAAGAAAAAUAAUCAAUGCACAUCUGCUCACAAGAUAUUUGUGUUGAUUAUUUCGAACUGUAUUUGUAGGCUUUUUUCAAUAAAUUUACAAGCACAGUUUUGGCAUAACAAACCUUAUUUCAAGUCUCUCUUUAGUCUUAAUUACAGUGAAGUCAACAUGCUAGAGCCGGCAAAUUACUAUCCAAUGCCCAAAGAAGAAGCCUCUUCAUUUAAGCAGCAAAUCUUGCAGGGCACCAAGCAAUGCAGCAGGAGAUCACCCACCACUUCCCUAUGUGUGUCAGGCUGUCACAGAACCUACAGACCCAAGACAAUGUGUUACAGUCAACUGUUGGAGCUUCAUCAAUCAUUCUCAGGUAUGUUUUCAUGUAAAAGAGGAAGCCAGUCCCGUCAUCGCCAACUCACCAGCUCUUAAAAUAACAUUUGGGCCAACUAGGGGACCAAGGCUGAUUAGGAGACACCGCAAUUGUGAUGAACUGAGAGAAUAUUAGGGUAGCACUGUAAUUCAUUAAUCAUAUGCUGUCUGCUGCUGUUCUUACCUCUUUCCCUUUCCGUCUUCUACACCUCUCUCCCCACCUCGUCUUUCUUCCUCGUUUUAUAAUGUACACCAUAUGUGCAUUGAAGUACAGACUGAACAUGUAUGUAUAAUACAAUAUUACAAUUAUCAUAAUUAUAAUGCAUGUAUUAUGAAUUCCUUUUAAUAAAGCGUUUCACAUUAUCCACUGUUUGAAAUUAAAUAUCUCAUUGAAAUACUA